rnacentral:rRNA from 1 species
GAUGAACGCUGGCGGCGUGCCUAAUACAUGCAAGUCGAGCGAACAGACGAGGAGCUUGCUCCUCUGACGUUAGCGGCGGACGGGUGAGUAACACGUGGAUAACCUACCUAUAAGACUGGGAUAACUUCGGGAAACCGGAGCUAAUACCGGAUAAUAUAUUGAACCGCAUGGUUCAAUAGUUAAAGACGGUUUUGCUGUCACUUAUAGAUGGAUCCGCGCCGCAUUAGCUAGUUGGUAAGGUAACGGCUUACCAAGGCAACGAUGCGUAGCCGACCUGAGAGGGUGAUCGGCCACACUGGAACUGAGACACGGUCCAGACUCCUACGGGAGGCAGCAGUAGGGAAUCUUCCGCAAUGGGCGAAAGCCUGACGGAGCAGCGCCGCGUGAGUGAUGAAGGUCUUCGGAUCGUAAAACUCUGUUAUUAGGGAAGAACAAAUGUGUAAGUAACUAUGCACGUCUUGACGGUACCUAAUCAGAAAGCCACGGCUAACUACGUG